GAUGAAGAACGCAGCGAAAUGCGAUAAGUAAUGUGAAUUGCAGAAUUCCGUGAAUCAUCGAAUCUUUGAACGCACAUUGCGCCCCUUGGUAUUCCAUGGGGCAUGCCUGUUCGAGCGUCAUUUGUACCUUCAAGCUUUGCUUGGUGUUGGGUGUUUGUCUCGCCUCCGCGUGUAGACUCGCCUCAAAACAAUUGGCAGCCGGCGUAUUGAUUUCGGAGCGCAGUACAUCUCGCGCUUUGCACUCACAACGACGACGUCCAAAAGUACAUUUUUACACUCUUGACCUCGGAUCAGGUAGGGAUACCCGCUGAACUUAAGCAUAUCAAUAAGCGGAGGA
rnacentral:misc_RNA from 1 species